rnacentral:rRNA from 1 species
UGGUGGAUUGAUUUGUCUGGUUUAUUCCGAUAACGAGCGAGACCACAGCCUACUAACUAGUAGUAUGAAUUUUCGGAUUCAUUUCUGCUUCUUAGAGGGACAGUCGGUGAGUAGCCGAAGGAAGUUUGUGGCAAUAACA